ensembl:lncRNA
UCUAGACUUUCAAAUUUCAUUAUCUUAAGCACAAAUCAACCUCGACGCUGCUCUGGUCUGGCUCUGAUAUUCUGCUCAGAAUUAACAAGGUUUCCAUCCUUACUGCCUCUGAAAAAUCCACAUCUGCUACAGUCUGCUGUGAAUCAGCUGCAUAACUGUGUUCAGUAAAAAAGGGCUUUUUACUAAGUUUCUGUGCAUGAAGUAUGCCAUUGACACCACUCACUCACAACGUACAGUCUGAAGCAAUCCGACUAAGAAAAUCUGAGAUAAAAGUAGGAAGCAGCAGGGAGACUGGAGUGAAUGAAGCAAAACAUAUCAAUCUGUGGAAGAUGCCUGACUGCUUCCAAUUGUACUGUCAUGAUCAUUUGAUUUAUCCUCUUGGGAGGAAGGAUUGCAAUUAUAAUGUACCAAUAGAUACAAAAAUGGAAGUAAAAAUACAUCUUGAGCAUAGUUUAAGGUUUGUCAGUUUUAUACAAAAUCUCCAUUGGGGCCUUCUUAAAUCUUUGUUAGAAUCAAAAUAAAAUUCAACCAAGCUUAUUUUAUGUGAUUCACAAAGACUAAAAGGGCACUAAGUUGUUAUGAAGUAAAAAGCUUGAAUGAAUGAUUAUGCUCUGGGCUCAGAUUUUAGGAACACAAAACAAUAAUUGUUACUGGGAGGUUUAGGAGUGAACUAAAUAUUAAAUAUUGUUGUAUUUACCACUGUAAAAGCCUGAUUUGUCUCUGUUGUAGUAAGGAUUAUAUCAAGAAUAAUCAGAAGAAACAAAUAUAAUUGCAUAAAUUUUAUGCUAGUGUUGGAAAAAAACAUGUUCUCUGAGUUCUAAGUACCUAAUAAAUAUGCUUCAGAAAUUUUCUCUGACUUAGAUUACUGCUAUAUUACUAAGAAGAUAAUAAAGUAGAAGCAAGCUAAAUGAUUUGCAUAAGUAAUAAUAGCAUGUCAAUAGCAAGAGCUAGUAAAAAGACACCAGGAAUCGUAGUGCUGUAAGUGGCAGUUGGAAUCUGCUGUCAGAAGAAAAAAAAAUCCUGCCCAAAUUAGUCUGAGAUGAUUUUUUGAGAGAACUGUAAUUUCAAUCCAACAUAACUGCCUGUAGUAAAAAGGAAAAAAAAAAAAAAAAAAAAAAAAAGUUUGAAUGGAUUUUUAAAACGAAUGAGAAUUUAUAAUUAUUAAAUCUUAACAAUUAAUUCAAUUCUUUGUGAUUGAACAAGCAAACACUGAAAAAAUACUCAGUUCCUAGCCAGAGUAAACAAAACCUCUGCGUUAGAAAUAUCAACUGAAAACACCAUUUGUAAUUUCAAAUAAGUGAAAACUGGUAGCCAAAGGAAUUGUUUUCAAUCCAGAAUUUCUGAAUACAUCUAUUUAUUCAAAAACCAUG